UCCCGCGUGGUCUAGUGAAUGGAUAUCUGGCUUUCCUUCAGAAGACCUGGGUUUGAUUCCCGGCGUGUGAA